GACGAACGCUGGCGGCGUGCCUAACACAUGCAAGUCGAACGGAGUCGGCCCCGCAAGGGACUGACUUCGUGGCGAACGGGUGAGUAACGCGUGAGCAACCUGCCUUUCAGUGGGGGACAACAGUUGGAAACGACUGCUAAUACCGCAUAAUGCAUUUUGACCGCAUGAUCGAGAUGCCAAAGAUUUAUUGCUGAAAGAUGGGCUCGCGUCUGAUUAGAUAGUUGGGGAGGUAACGGCCCACCAAGUCGACGAUCAGUAGCCGGACUGAGAGGUUGAACGGCCACAUUGGGACUGAGAUACGGCCCAGGCGCCUACGGGAGGCAGCAGUGGGGAAUAUUGGGCAAUGGGGGAAACCGUGACCCAGCAACGCCGCGUGAAGGAAGAAGGCUUUCGGGUUGUAAACUUCUUUUACCAGGGACGAAGAAAGUGACGGUACCUGGAGAAAAAGCCACGGCUAACUACGUG
rnacentral:rRNA from 1 species